GGUACUUCUGAGAGAACAUGUUACAGGAAAGAAGUGGAGAUAAAUAUUUGGCAAAUUUGGGAUCAUGGCCUGGUAUCUAAGGGUCUGCUUCACACUCCGUCUCUCAGAAUACAGAUGCCUCAGGACCUUCCAGAACCUUCUGAAAGGGCUUCUAAGAAAACAGCGAGUACAAAACAUGAAAACAACUGCCCUCAGCUGCUCCUGGGGUCUCUGUAUUCCGACUGCAGCUGUGGAGAAUUGUUGUUGAAUUCCAUUCUCCAUGUUGCUCUAAAAGCAUUUCAAAGAGGUUCAGAGAAAGCCGGGUGCACUUUGAUUUUAGAAGAAGAAAAAAGAAAGAUGAAGAAGGAGCAGACACUUCUGUUUGCCAUAUACCUGCUUCUCAAGAACUACAUGAAGAAAACCUGGCUCACACAGAAAUGUACGAAGAGAGAGACAGGGGUGGCCUAUAUUAGGAACAGCGCUGGCCAGGCCACACAGCUCGGUCUCAUACUGCCCUCUGCAGUCUGACUGCAGUCUUCACAACCUACCCCGAGUGUCACAACGUGGGACAUCCUGCACACACGUCCAGUCCCUCGGGUAGAAUCACUGCCCACCUUUGGCCUGGAGACAAAAAGUAAAAUAAAAUAUUUAACUUGCUGCCUGAACAGAUGCAUUUACAGCCAUGAUUCGUCUCCCUGGAGCUGGUGGGCUUGGAAAGCACCCCUUUGGGCCUUCCAUUCAUUGCUUUCUUUUCUGCUAACAGGACCAAAUUAGGAAGACAAUAGUUUACCCAGAUUGGUAUGAUUUGCUCACCCAACGUCUCCCACCCCCUCUCCAUUCUACAAUACAGCAUGCGACCCCUGAAGAGGAGAAGGCAGAUGCUAUCUAGGUCAAAAACAUAUUGUAUGAAGAGAGAAAUAAUCCAAGGGAAAGAAAGAUGGAGUUCUGCGGACUCAAUCUAUUAUUCAAGAAGAAAAAUCCUUAACAGAUAUAUAUGCUGAAAGGAGACGGAGAACCUGUCCUAAAACGCA
rnacentral:lncRNA from 1 species